rnacentral:rRNA from 1 species
GCCUAACAUCUAGCCCGCACCACCCGCAUGAACUCCCCCUCCCACACAUACACAACAAAACAUUUUACCUCUUUAGUACAGGCGAUCGAAAAAUUUAUAGGCGCUUCAGAUUAAGUACCGCAAGGGAAAGAUGAAAUAAAAAUGAAAUAACUUUAAAGCCCCAAAUAGCAGAGAUAUACCCUCGUACCUUUUGCAUCAUGGUCUAGCUAGUCUAAUCAAGCAAAAUGUAAACUUUAGUUUGACAUCCCGAAACUAAGUGAGCUACUUCAAAACAGCCUUAGGGGGCCAACCCGUCUCUGUUGCAAAAGAGUGGGAAGAUUUUCAAGUAGAGGUGAUAAGCCUAUCGAACUUAGAGAUAGCUGGUUAUUCAGAAAAAGAGUUUUAGCUCUGCCUUAAGUUUUAGCAUUAACCCAAACAAAUCUCUAAACUUAAGAGUUAUUCAAGUAAGGUUCAGCUUACUUGAAACAGGAUACAACCUCCGAUAUUGGGUAAAUGAGGAAAACCCAGACAAAGUGGGCCUAAAAGCAGCCAUCUUACAAAAAGCGUUAAAGCUUAAUCACUGAUUAUCCGUAAUUCCUUAAUUCCUUAUUAACCCCUCACCUCUACUGAAUCAUUUUAUAACAUUAUAAAAGCUAUUAUGCUAGAACUAGUAACAAGAAAAUGCCUUUCUCCUGAAUGUUAGCCAGAACCGAGAUAAACCCUGUCGGUAUUUAACGUAAAUGCUUUAAUUAUAGUAACACACACCAGAAAACCCUAUUAAUUCCAACGUCAACCUUACACUAGAACAUUACAGGAAAGAUUAAAAGAAAGAGAAGGAACUCGGCAAACCCCAGCCCCGCCUGUUUACCAAAAACAUCGCCUCUUGCUUCCCAUAAGAGGUCCAGCCUGCCCAGUGACAUAGUUCAACGGCCGCGGUAUCCUAACCGUGCGAAGGUAGCAUAAUCACUUGUUCUCUAAAUAAGGACUAGUAUCAACGGCACCACGAGGGCUAUACUGUCUCCUCUUUCCAAUCAGUGAAACUGAUCUCCCCGUGAAGAAGCGGGGAUUAGUAUAUUAGACGAGAAGACCCCAUGGAGCUUAAAAUUCAAUGCACACCUCCUCCCCCCAAAAUCAAUAUAACCAAAGAUAACUGUGCAUAAAUUUUAGGUUGGGGUGACCGCGGAGUAGAACACAACCUCCUCGAUAAAUGGGCCAACGCCCUUAUCUAUGAAUUACUAUUCUAAGAAUCAAUAAUUUGAUAUUUAAUGACCCGAUAACUCGAUCAACGAACCAAGUUACCCUGGGGAUAACAGCGCAAUCUACUUCAAGAGUCCCUAUCGACAAGUAGGCUUACGACCUCGAUGUUGGAUCAGGGUG